UACGUAGGUGGCAAGCGUUGUCCGGAAUUAUUGGGCGUAAAGAGCUCGUAGGCGGUUUGUCGCGUCUGCUGUGAAAACUCGGGGCUUAACUCCGGGCCUGCAGUGGGUACAGGCAGACUAGAGUGCGGUAGGGGAGACUGGAAUUCCUGGUGUAGCGGUGAAAUGCGCAGAUAUCAGGAGGAACACCGGUGGCGAAGGCGGGUCUCUGGGCCGUAACUGACGCUGAGGAGCGAAAGCGUGGGGAGCAAACAGG
rnacentral:rRNA from 1 species